rnacentral:lncRNA from 1 species
GCCAGCAGUGGUGGUACACGGCAGGUGCUCACUAAGUGCUUGAUCAAACUAGCGGUGGUUCCGCUUUCUGGAUGCUUCCUUAUGUAUGCUGUUCCGGGGGAAAGACAGAAGAAACACACGCUUCUCUCUCGGGAGCUCCUUGGGUUCAGGCUGUUGGCAGAAGCAUCCCCGAACUGCGGCUGUGUAGACGCUGACGGUGGGCAGACGUCUCCAAGGCAAGCAAGAUGGGCUGGGCCAUCAGCUAGAAGAAGGCUGCAGAGUGAGUUGUCACAGCUAGGAACUCCUCCACUUGCCUGCGGGGACAUGCACACACACACACACGUGCACACACAGGCACACACGCAUGCAGAAAACAUGAACACACACAAUCCACACACGCAUAUAUACAUAUGUUCAUGUAUGCACAUACAGUGUACACACAACACACGUGUAUACACCACAUGUAUACACCCACGUGUAAACACAUGUACACACACAUGCAGACACGCAGACACACACGCAUAUCCUCCCCGGCGGGGAGGUAAAGAGAAGUCUUGGUGACAUCAUUCAUUCUUUGCAGAUGAUGCUCAUCUUUAAUCAUCAGAUGCAUUUUGUAUGCCAUUGUGCUGUUUUCGAAGCGUUUCUCUGUGAUCUCACCUCAUUCUUAGGACGUUUUAUGAUGUAGGUGUGGCUCCCCCGUGUUCCAGAGGAGGAAGCAGACUCAGUGACAUUAGGGACUCGCCCAGGGCUGGGGCUGGGCUCGAACCACAGAUUCCUUCCUAGUUGACUCUUCCUUGUCUUUAAAUGUCACACCAGAGAAAGAGAGACACAAAGGUUUUUUCUUUUUCCUUUUUUUAAAUGACAAAGUGAUAGAGCUGUGAAGAUGGAGAGAUAGAAGUCAUUUUAAGGCCACACAGAAAUUAGGGGGCUAAGUAGAAAGGUAAUCUGUUUCUUCAUUUUAAUCCAGAUUUUUCCGAUCCCGGUGCCCUGUUCUUUAUAAUCUUACUAAAAACAGUUAUAUUAAACCAGGCGUUGAUAGUCCAUUUUUCAAACUCUCCACAGACUUCAUUCUGCGUUAGAAAUGGUGUUUGAAUUUACGUUAGUUUGUCAGGAUUCACAAAGGCCAGGGUAUUUGGUGAAACCGUUUGCAGGAAUAGACACAUGACUUGUGCGUCCCAGGCAGGAGAAACGCAAGUCUUGGGAGAAGGAGCCUCCUGGGAGAGGGGGAACGCGCACCCCUAUAAAACUGUGAGAACACCUGGUUCUCUAGAGAAUGCAGGGCCCUCCGGCCUCAAGAACGUUCCGGAAGCCCACAGCAGAAAUCCUUUAGAAAGAGACCACGCACUGUUGUGUCUCACAGAGGGCCUGUUUCCCACAUCUUAGCUUCUGGGUUUAAAUUGAAUACACUAAUAGAGAUGUGAAAACGAAGUACUGAAGAUUCUUUCCAUCUUCUGAGAGUUGAGAGUGGGGAGCUGGUUCUGAUGAGCCGUGCCCAGUGCCGGCCCCGGGCCCACCGGGCAUGAAGGGGGAGUGGAGCGCUCCUGGGUCAGAGAAGGAGCUA